ACAUUAGAAUCCAUGUAUGUUUAGAGCAUCAUGCAUUCGCUGAAGCUUCCCCCCACCCAGCACCCCCCACUCCCACCCCUGCUUUUCCAAAGACAAAGAAGGCUUUCUUCUCCUGGGCAUCACUGGGUUGCUUCGAAAUCAUAGGGAUCCCCCUGAAUUCACCUAUUACCAGUCAGAGAGCUCGAUCCCAAGCUCUGUGAGAUCCCCCAUAGCCUUGAUCCUGAUCACAGCACUCACAUGAGUGAUGGGCAGGAUGCUGUAUCCUGUCUUGGCUUCCUUUCUUUCUCACAGAACUUUUUGGGUCCAAAGAGUGUGAGUUCUCUGAAAGCUACAGAAACAAAGCCAUGGUUACAGUGGACCUUAGAGUCGAAAGACCAGGGUUCAAAUUCUAAUUCCGCUAUUUUUUCUGGCCCCAGGCAAUUCACUAGAUCUCUGCGGGCCUCAGUUUACUCCUCUGUAAAAUGGGACUAAUAAAACCCGGCUUCCUACCUUUGUUGAAAAGAUAACCUAUGGUUUGUUCAGAAGUUCUGGUACAAUGUCUGGCACCUAGUAGGCACUCAACAAGGGGAAACACCUCCUCUUUAUCAUCAUCAGGGACAGCAGUAAACUCUUUCCUACAAGGGAACCCUCUUGGUAAAAAUAAAAAGGUUCUGGUACCAGGGAUAUCAAAGAGGGAUCAGCUUGAGCGCAUGAAGCCACAGGCUGUCCUGGGGCUGGGGCACUCAGCCAGGUGCCCAUGGCCAUGUCUGGGUGGGUAGUGGGCAUGGGGCUUCAGAAAGCCUUACGACCAGUGGCCAGCUGGUUGGCACACUACCAGAAAGCUGCCGAAUUAUCUGGAGAAACAGAAAUUGUUGGGGUUUUAUUUAAACCACUUGCGAUAGGAAGUCCUUCUAGAGUUUUGCUUUCACUUUUCUCUGCGACCUUGAAUCGAGUGCCCUGAUCCUUUCCGUGGGGACUUGCAGUCACACCUAGGAGCUAUGCUGUGUGCACUGUGUUGGGAUCCAGUAUGCCCUCGGGAGCCCUGGACUGAGUGUGGAGCCCCGCACGAUCACAAGUGGCCAGUAACGGAUCGACACCCGCUCUGCCCUUGCUGUGUCGACAGUGAGGGCUCCUGUUAAAACGGAAACAUCUGAGCAAGAAACACAGUAUGACAUCGUGGUCCCUGACCUUCAAUUCGUAUGAAGACAUGGGAAGCAUGUGCAUCCAGUCUGCAGAUGACUCAACGCUGGAGGGGAUGAGAGAAUUAAGGUUCAAGAUGAGCUCGACAGUCGAGAAUGCUGGGUCAAAAGCAACCAGAUGAAAUUUAACAUCAAUAAAUCUAACGUCUUGAA